GACUUCAAGGUUCAAUAUCCGGGUGAGGCAAAUACUUAGUAGAUGCCCUCGACUGGAAACCACUUGACAGCUUAUUCCAUCCCUUAGUGCAAGAGGAAGGAGGCCAGUAAUCGGAGGACAAAAGGAUCAGAACUGCUGUAAGUCAGCAGGAGAGUUAUGAAGUUGUCCACAAGAGGCAUGUAGAGUACCAGAAGAGAGAAGAGUUUUGUCAGAGUGUGCAGCGGAAGCAUGUUGAGGUUCUCGAGGAAGUUGAGGUUACUGGAGGUGUCUCCUAAAGAGAGGGUGAUUCGUUACGGGCAAAAAGGUAAAUUAACUCUCUAAUACAUUGGACCCUUGAAAUCCUGCAGAGGAUUGGGAAUGUAUCCCACGAGUUAGAUUUACCUACUUCAAUGGAAGAGAUCCAUCCGUUUUUCCAUGUUUCCACGGUAUAUGAGUUUGUGUCGGGUCCGAGUGAGGUUCUUGAAGGAACCAGAGGUGGAGAUCGUAGAGGAUCUCACCUAUGUUGAGCAGCUA
rnacentral:lncRNA from 1 species